ensembl:snRNA U6 U6 spliceosomal RNA
GUGCUUACUUCGGCAGCACAUAUACUAAAAUUGGAAUGAAACAGAGAAAAGUAGCAUGACCCCUACAUAAAGAUGACACGCAAAUUCGUGAAGCAUUCCAUAUUAAA